rnacentral:rRNA from 1 species
AGCAGCCGCGGUAAUUCCAGCUCCAAUAGCGUAUAUUAAAGUUGUUGCAGUUAAAAAGCCGUAGUUGAAUUUUUGAUCUGGCCGAUAGUACGACCGCGAGGUCAGUAUCUUUGGCUGGUCUUUCCUUCUGGAGAGCCAUUAUGCCAUUUAUUUGGUGUUUUGGGGAUCCAGGACUUUACCUUGAAAAAAUUUAGAGUGUUUAAAGCAGGCAUACGCUUGAAUACAUUAGCAUGGAAAAUAGAAU